rnacentral:lncRNA from 1 species
UUUUACAUUAUUAUAGCAUAAAUCCUAUAUAAUACUUGAAACUGCAUCUCGGUGCCAAAAAUGUAUAUUUAGUGACGAGCUAAAACCAAUAAAAUUGAGAAUGGAAAUGGGGAAUGUCCGAUCUUUUGUCAUUUACAGCUUUUCAACCUGACUUCACCAUUGUACGCUGAAUAUUUAACCCUCUAAAAAAAUUAAGAUUAAUUUUUUGAAAUAUUCUUAUCAAUCUUAGUGAACCAUUACUUGAUUUGAUGAUUUUGGAAACUAUGUAGACUUCUUCCAUUACUUGGUCGGGUAGAACAUCCAUCAGCUUGACAAGUCAUUUGAACACU